ACGGAAGGCAGCAGUGGGGAAUAUUGCACAAUGGGGGAAACCCUGAUGCAGCGACGCCGCGUGAGUGAAGAAGUAUUUCGGUAUGUAAAGCUCUAUCAGCAGGAAAGAAAAUGACGGUACCUGACUAAGAAGCCCCGGCUAACUACGUGCCAGCAGCCGCGGUAAUACGUAGGGGGCAAGCGUUAUCCGGAUUUACUGGGUGUAAAGGGAGCGUAGACGGCUUUGCAAGUCUGAAGUGAAAGCCCGGGGCUCAACCCCGGAACUGCUUUGGAAACUGUAGAGCUAGAGUGCAGGAGAGGUAAGUGGAAUUCCUAGUGUAGCGGUGAAAUGCGUAUAUAUUAGGAGGAACACCAGUGGCGAAGGCGGCUUACUGGACUGUAACUGACGUUGAGGCUCGAAGGCGUGGGGAGCAAACAGGAUUAGAUACCCUGGUA
rnacentral:rRNA from 1 species